rnacentral:rRNA from 1 species
UGGGGAAUUUUGGACAAUGGGCGAAAGCCUGAUCCAGCAAUGCCGCGUGUGUGAAAGGCAGCUUCGGGUUGUAAAGCACUUUUGUCCGGAAAGAAAUCCUUGGCUCUAAUACAGUCGGGGGAUGGCGGUACCGGAAGAAUAAGCACCGGCUAACUACGUGCCAGCAGCCGCGGUAAUACGUAGGGUGCAAGCGUUAAUCGGAAUUACUGGGCGUAAAGCGUGCGCAGGCGGUUUGCUAAGACCGAUGUGAAACCCCCGGGCUCAACCUGGGAACUGCAUUGGUGACUGGCAGGCUAGAGUAUGGCAGAGGGGGGUAGAAUUCCACGUGUAGCAGUGAAAUGCGUAGAGAUGUGGAGGAAUACCGAUGGCGAAGGCAGCCCCCUGGGCCAAUACUGACGCUCAUGCACGAAAGCGUGGGGAGCAAACAGGAUUAGAUACCCUGGGUAGUCCACGCCCUAAAACGAUGUCAACUAGUUGUUGGGGAUUCAUUUCCUUAGUAACGUAGCUAACGCGUGAAGUUGACCGCCUGGGGAGUACGGUCGCAAGAUUAAAACUUAAAUGAAUUG